CGGCCCCAACGAUUCCUUCGUCAUCGUCUUCAACCCCCAAAACACCAAAAUCCCUACCUGGUUCGCACACUAAACCCUCACUCUCCUUUUCUUCACCUCCCAAACCCUACAUCCCCUAACGAGCUCACUCUUCGCCUCCUAUGGCUGCCCUCCAACUCAGACCCAAACACAGAACCCUCCACAACCCCUCCCUCAUUCACCUCUUCUCUACCUCUUCGACCCCUCCUGAACCCACCUCUGCCGAGCAAUCCCCGACAUCCGGCUCAUCCGAUCCCUCCGAAUCUCAACGAUCCUUAUCCUCCUAUUUCUCUGAUGUCAAACAACAACAACAGCAACAACAUAGACCCGCUUCCCCAUUUUCACAAAGGAAUCCCACAAUCCCAGCGAAACCUUCGAGCCCUUUAGACUUAUCUUUCUCCAAGCCUUCCGAAAUCGGUUCCCUCGGACAAACCCUCAAGAACUUCGAUGAGUUCCGCCUCCGAUCCUCUGUGUCACCUCUCUCCAGACCCAACUCCGCACAUGCGACGACACCGUCCUCCGAAUCUUCAUCCCAGCCCAUCUCGUUUCGAGAGCCUUACAAACGUUAUAUGACCGAGAGGGACGGCGAGAACGGUACCAACACAGCUUCGGGCCCCGGAGAAUUUGGCGGCAGUGUGUUCGAAGAGUAUUUACGGCAGCUACGUUCGUCGCCCGAGAUGGUACAGAAUGAGCGGAGGAGGCAACAGCUGUUGGCUCAGGAAGUGGUGGAUAAUUUGAAAUUGGAGCAAUCUACGGAUCCGGAUCCGGUUCCGGUUCCGGUGAUUGGCGGGACUGGUACGCUGCCUGUUUCAGUGUUUGGGAAGGAAAGGGAGCAGAAGGAUACGGAGGGGGAGAAAAUGGCAAUGAAGACGGAGUUUGUGAAGAUGGAGGAUAAGGAGACAGAGUCGAGGAUUGGCGGGGUUACGCAUAAGGAUUUGAGGUAGAGCUUGUUGAGACUGAGGAUGUCAGACGAUGAGAAGGCGAAGAAAAGUUCCACUUUUGUAGAAGCGUCUACGGAUCCGGAUCCGGUUCCGGUGAUUGGCGGGACUGGUACGCUGCCGGUUUCAGUGUUUGGUAAGGAAAGGGAGCGGAAGGAUACGGAGGGGGAGAAAAUGGCAAUGAAGACGGAGUUUGUGAAGAUGGAGGAUAAGGAGCCGGAGUCGAGGAGUAUCGGGGAUGUGUUGAUGAAUUUGAAACGGAGGAUGUCAGAUGAUGAGAAGGCGAAGAAAAGUUUCAGUAAGUAACAUGGUUUUGCAUGGUGUUCAAUAUAAUUGAUUCUAAGCAUGUUCUAUCAUUUGGAUAGUAGAUCAUAGAAGAAUGUACAUUCUGUUUUGGGUCUGAGGAAGUUUUAUGGAAUUGGUAAUUUGCAUGCUAGUCUUGGAAUAGAAUAUGAAAAAUAAUAGAAAAUUGUUAUGGUUGGUAGAGGAUGGGAAACUUUGUUUCUUUGUUUGGUAUUUUUAAUGUGAACGCAGAAAGGGGUAGUUUGGAUUGCGUGAUUUUAUGUUAAUAUGUAACCUGCUUUCAUCAAUAAAAUGCUUGAUUACGUAUUAAAAAAAUGUUAAUAUGCUACCACAUUUCUGCAUUCGAUUAUGGCACAUUGAGAGGGGGUCAAAGUUUUCAAUCCAGUGAUUUCUCUAUGCACGUCUAAAUUGUGCUUAUUAUGAUAUUAUAUUUUAAUGUUUCAUGGGGAUUUAACCUCUGUUUUCGGUUGCUGAGAUUGAAGAUAAGUGAAAGGAGUGGAAGUUUCGAAGAGUAGUAUUUUAUUAAUUUGGACCGGUUAAGACAUUAAAGAUGAAAAAUGCAUUUAGGCAGGUAUCUUUUGGACUACUUUCUUUGAGGGAAAAAUCUACUUGCAAGCAAGUUCGUGUACCAAUUCGUGUACCGAUAUUAAUAUAUAAUGUAUAUUUUUAAUGAAACGAUGUCAAUUAAAGAUAA